rnacentral:tmRNA from 1 species
UCUCUUUCCCCGCGCGCGCUCAGUGCCUAUAUUCGGUUUGCCGCUCGCAAGAACGGCUAUGGCGAUAAACGGACGUCGGAAUAAGCCUUUCGGACCCGGGGGCGGUACCCGGCGCCUCCACCAGAGCCCGUCAGCCUCUCGCAGGCGGGUUCCGGCGGGGGCGAAAUAGGAUCGACGAGGGUGUAAAGGUCGUUCUUUUGCUCGGCAUGGUUCCGCCGUUAUCGGGCCAAAAGCAUAGUUGCCAACGACAACAAUGCUCGGGUUGCUGUCGCCGCGUAAUGCGGUGCUGGUUCCCAAACCAAAGCCCUUGCGCUUAGCCGCGUAAGGCGGGGCUCGGAGGCGCCUGGCAACAGAAGCCUCCACU